GACGAACCGUACGAACGUUAUUCGGAAUUAUUGGGCUUAAAGGGUGCGUAGGCGGCGCAGAAAGUUGGAUGUGAAAGCCCCCGGCUCAACCGGGGAAUUGCGUCCAAAACUACUGUGCUCGAGGGAGACAGGGGUGAGCGGAACUCACGGUGGAGCGGUGAAAUGCGUUGAUAUCGUGAGGAACGCCGGUGGCGAAAGCGGCUCACUGGGUCUCUUCUGACGCUGAGGCACGAAAGCCAGGGGAGCGAACGGG
rnacentral:misc_RNA from 1 species